rnacentral:rRNA from 1 species
CGGAGGGUGCAAGCGUUAUCCGGAUUUACUGGGUUUAAAGGGUGCGCAGGCGGAUAUGUAAGUCAGUGGUGAAAUCUCCGGGCUUAACCCGGAAACUGCCGUUGAUACUAUAUAUCUUGAAUGCUGUGGAGGUAAGCAGAAUAUGUCAUGUAGCGGUGAAAUGCUUAGAGAUGACAUAGAAUACCUAUUGCGAAGGCAGCUUACUACGCAGAUAUUGACGCUCAUGCACGAAAGCGUGGGGAUCAAACAGGAUUAGAUACCCUGGUAGUCCACGCCCUAAACGAUGAUUACUCGACAUACGCGAUAUACAGUGUGUGUCUGAGCGAAAGCAUUAAGUAAUCCACCUGGGAGGUACGAUCGCAAGAUUG